CACGUAGGGGGCGAGCGUUGUCCGGAUUCAUUGGGCGUAAAGGGCGCGUAGGCGGUCAGCACAAGUCAGUUGUGAAAUCUCCGAGCUUAACUCGGAAAGGUCAACUGAUACUGUGCGACUAGAGUGCGGAAGGGGCAACUGGAAUUCUUGGUGUAGCGGUGAAAUGCGUAGAUAUCAGGAGGAACACCGGUGGCGAAGGCGGGUCUCUGGCCGGUACUGACGCUG
rnacentral:rRNA from 1 species